CCAAACUCCUCCUCCCUCCUCCCAGUGGGCCAAGAGUCUUGUGUCCCGCUUGAUGCCCAGGGAACUUGCCAGGCCACUGACCGCCUCUGGGGCUCCGGGUCCACAUAUGGCCCAGGCUGUUCUGCCGACCCCUCCUCUGGGCCGGGCGCCCUGCACACGUCCACACCACCCACCAUGCUGAUACCGUUUUAUCGCGGUAGUGACCGCUGGUGAGUGAGCUCCUAUCUCCUCCACAGGGACUAACCCCUUCACCGUCUCUGCCCGCUCGGGCCAGCUGUUGGGUCUCCUGAGAGCAGUCUGACAUUUGGCAUGAUGGACGGGGGAACGCCCUGGUCUGGGACCUUCUCCAGAGUCUCUGCGCCCACAGGGGAUCACACACACCCUACCUGGCUCAGCUGGCUGUCCCUGCCAGCUACACUGAGGUCACAGGCAAAACCAGAGGGGGCCGAGGGUCUACUCCGGAGCCCUCCCCACCCCUGCUGGGAGGCGAUGCAAGGCCAGGUGGGGAGCCGCUGAAGUGCUGGCCACCCUCAACCUCUUGGCCCUUCCCUGGCACACCUAGCUGGACCUGCCAGCUGAGCCAGGCCACAGGCGGGUGAUCAGAGCAGCGUGGGGGCCAGCGGGAGGCAAACCGCACAAGGGCCUGGCCCAUUCCUUUGGACUCUUCCCAGGUUGGGAGUCAGACAGAAUGAGGACUCAGUCUCUGUGCCACUGCCUAUGAACUGGUGACGCUGGGCUGGGAUGGCACGGGCCUCCCCCCGAGGUUGUAGGGACCAAAUGAGCCACUGCACAGGCACAGGGGCCACAAGAUGGAAGCGUCGGUCUCCAGGGCUUUCCUCAGCCCCUUCUGAGAUUCCCUUUGCCCUCAGGGCUCUGUGCACUGGCUGGGAAACAGGCAGAGGGGAGUCCAGCAGAAGCUGAGGCUGUGGGUGGGUGGACAGCUGGUCCCGGGAUGAAGAUGGUGAGAGACAGGGGAAAUGAGGAUGUAAGGAAGGCGGCCUGUGCCAGCCCCCCUUGCUGCCCUCCAGAGACCCUCUGGAAAGUCUCACAUGGCUCUGGUGGUCUUUGGAGUUGGGUUUGCGUGAGCUGCUCCUUAGGAGGGAGGGGGGCCAAUUUAUCUGGGUCAUUAGCCCCAAAUUCCUGGCCUGGAGCACACUUCCAAGAAAGGGAGAGAAAGUUCUCUCACGAACAGAGGUAGCAGUGGGAUCGGGGUGGAUGACCCCAGGGGAGGGAGAAGAGAGAGGAAAAGGGCUCCCCGUGCCAAAUCGUCACCAGACCCUGGAUCCUGCUGCGAGGCCCCUUCCUCCGUCCCGACACCCACCCGGCAUAAGCAUGCAGAAGCACAAGGACAAUGGCUGAUGGAGGAAGUGAGAAUAAAAUUACUUCUUUUAUUUCCAAAAAAUGGAGAGAUGGGGGAGCAAC
rnacentral:lncRNA from 1 species